rnacentral:rRNA from 1 species
ACGGUCUGAUUUGAAGUGCUUACUGCAUUUUUUCUUACACAUGUGUUUUUCUUUUUUUGAAAACUUUGCUUUGGUAGGCCUUCUAUAUGGGGCCUGCCAGAGAUUAAACUCAACCAAAUUUUAUUUAAUGUCAACCGAUUAUUUAAUAGUCAAAACUUUCAACAACGGAUCUCUUGGUUCUCGCAUCGAUGAAGAACGCAGCGAAAUGCGAUAAGUAAUAUGAAUUGCAGAUAUUCGUGAAUCAUCGAAUCUUUGAACGCACAUUGCGCCCUUUGGUAUUCCAAAGGGCAUGCCUGUUUGAGCGUCAUUUCUCCCUCAAACCCUCGGGUUUGGUGUUGAGCGAUACGCUGGGUUUGCUUGAAAGAAAGGCGGAGUAUAAACUAAUGGAUAGGUUUUUUCCACUCAUUGGUACAAACUCCAAAACUUCUUCCAAAUUCGACCUCAAAUCAGGUAGGACUACCCGCUGAACUUAAGCAUAUCAAUAAGGCGGAGGAA